GACGAACGCUGGCGGCGUGCUUAACACAUGCAAGUCGAACGGAAAGGCCCUGCUUUUGUGGGGUGCUCGAGUGGCGAACGGGUGCGUAACACGUGAGUAACCUGCCCUUCACUUUGGGAUAACUUCACGAAACUGGGGCUAAUCCCGGAUAGCAUCUCCCGCUGCAUGGUGGGCGUUGGAAAGUCUCGGCGGUUGGGGAUGGACUCGCGGCUUAUCAGCUUGUUGGUGGGGUAGUGGCUUACCAAGGCUUUGACGGGUAGCCGGCCUGAGAGGGUGACCGGCCACAUUGGGACUGAGAUACGGACCAGACUCCUACGGGAGGCAGCAGUGGGGAAUAUUGCACAAUGGGCGGAAGCCUGAUGCGGCAACGCCGCGUGCGGGAUGACGGCCUUUGGGUUGUAAACCGCUUUCGCCUGUGACGAAGCGUGAGUGACGGUAAUGGGUAAAGAAGCACCGGCUAACUACGUG
rnacentral:rRNA from 1 species